AGAGUUUGAUCCUGGCUCAGGAUGAACGCCGGCGGUGUGCCUAAUACAUGCAAGUCGUACGCACUGGCCCAACUGAUUGAUGGUGCUUGCACCUGAUUGACGUUGGAUCACCAGUGAGUGGCGGACGGGUGAGUAACACGUAGGUAACCUGCCCCGGAGCGGGGGAUAACAUUUGGAAACAGAUGCUAAUACCGCAUAACAACAAAAGCCACAUGGCUUUUGUUUGAAAGAUGGCUUUGGCUAUCACUCUGGGAUGGACCUGCGGUGCAUUAGCUAGUUGGUAAGGUAACGGCUUACCAAGGCGAUGAUGCAUAGCCGAGUUGAGAGACUGAUCGGCCACAAUGGAACUGAGACACGGUCCAUACUCCUACGGGAGGCAGCAGUAGGGAAUCUUCCACAAUGGGCGCAAGCCUGAUGGAGCAACACCGCGUGAGUGAAGAAGGGUUUCGGCUCGUAAAGCUCUGUUGUUGGAGAAGAACGUGCGUGAGAGUAACUGUUCACGCAGUGACGGUAUCCAACCAGAAAGUCACGGCUAACUACGUGCCAGCAGCCGCGGUAAUACGUAGGUGGCAAGCGUUAUCCGGAUUUAUUGGGCGUAAAGCGAGCGCAGGCGGUUGCUUAGGUCUGAUGUGAAAGCCUUCGGCUUAACCGAAGAAGUGCAUCGGAAACCGGGCGACUUGAGUGCAGAAGAGGACAGUGGAACUCCAUGUGUAGCGGUGGAAUGCGUAGAUAUAUGGAAGAACACCAGUGGCGAAAGCGGCUGUCUGGUCUGCAACUGACGCUGAGGCUCGAAAGCAUGGGUAGCGAACAGGAUUAGAUACCCUGGUAGUCCAUGCCGUAAACGAUGAGUGCUAGGUGUUGGAGGGUUUCCGCCCUUCAGUGCCGGAGCUAACGCAUUAAGCACUCCGCCUGGGGAGUACGACCGCAAGGUUGAAACUCAAAGGAAUUGACGGGGGCCCGCACAAGCGGUGGAGCAUGUGGUUAAAUUCGAAGCUACGCGAAGAACCUUACCAGGUCUUGACAUCUUGCGCUAACCUUAGAGAUAAGGCGUUCCCUUCGGGGACGCAAUGACAGGUGGUGCAUGGUCGUCGUCAGCUCGUGUCGUGAGAUGUUGGGUUAAGUCCCGCAACGAGCGCAACCCUUGUUACUAGUUGCCAGCAUUAAGUUGGGCACUCUAGUGAGACUGCCGGUGACAAACCGGAGGAAGGUGGGGACGACGUCAGAUCAUCAUGCCCCUUAUGACCUGGGCUACACACGUGCUACAAUGGACGGUACAACGAGUCGCAAGCUCGCGAGAGUAAGCUAAUCUCUUAAAGCCGUUCUCAAUUCGGACUGUAGGCUGCAACUCGCCUACACGAAGUCGGAAUCGCUAGUAAUCGCGGAUCAGCAUGCCGCGGUGAAUACGUUCCCGGGCCUUGUACACACCGCCCGUC
rnacentral:rRNA from 2 species